rnacentral:rRNA from 1 species
GAGGAAAAGAAACUAACAAGGAUUCCCCUAGUAGCGGCGAGCGAAGCGGGAAGAGCUCAAAUUUAUAAUCUGGCACCUUCGGUGUCCGAGUUGUAAUCUCUAGAAAUGUUUUCCGCGUUGGACCGCACACAAGUCUGUUGGAAUACAGCGGCAUAGUGGUGAGACCCCCGUAUAUGGUGCGGACGCCCAGCGCUUUGUGAUACAUUUUCGAAGAGUCGAGUUGUUUGGGAAUGCAGCUCAAAUUGGGUGGUAAAUUCCAUCUAAAGCUAAAUAUUGGCGAGAGACCGAUAGCGAACAAGUACCGUGAGGGAAAGAUGAAAAGCACUUUGGAAAGAGAGUUAACAGUACGUGAAAUUGUUGGAAGGGAAACGCUUGAAGUCAGACUUGCUUGCCGAGCAAUCGGUUUGCAGGCCAGCAUCAGUUUUCCGGGAUGGAUAAUGGUAGAGAGAAGGUAGCAGUUUCGGCUGUGUUAUAGCUCUCUGCUGGAUACAUCUUGGGGGACUGAGGAACGCAGUGUGCCUUUGGCGGGGGUUUCGACCUCUUCACACUUAGGAUG